GAAGUGCGAACCUGCGAGGGGAGGCGAACCCAGAAAAGCUGUCCCAGUUCGGACUGGAGUCUGCAACCCGACUCCACGAAGUUGGAUUCGCUAGUAAUCGCGCAUCAGCCAUGGCGCGGUGAAUACGUUCCCGGGCCUUGUACACACCGCCCGUCAAGCCAUGGGAGCCGGGGGCGCCUGAAGUCCGGGACCGCGAGGACCGGCCUAGGGCGAAACUGGUAACUGGGGCUAAGUCGUAACAAGGUACC
rnacentral:rRNA from 1 species